rnacentral:lncRNA from 1 species
ACAGACAUGCACUUACGCUGUCUUUUUUUUUCGAUUACAACAGCCAUAUUGAAUUUUUUAUCUUAAUUUUAACUGUAGGAACAUCUUGCCAGGAACAAUGUACCUAUUGUUUCUUUAUCAAUGUAAAAUAGAAAACAAUAUCAAAUUGUAUGUAAUAAUGAAAAAGAAAUCCAUGCAUUCUUAGAUAAAUAUGGGAAAACCAAACAUUUUAUUGAAGUAUUCUUAAUUUGGUAUAUCUUUAAAUCAGACAAUCCUUUAAAAAUGAAUAUAUUAAGAAGAGAAGAAUGUAUAGGAUAAUCAUAAAGUGAUUCGUACAUCAUAAAUUCCUUGCCAAUUAAAAUAUAUUCAUUUUUAUUAUUGCUUUGAGUACAUAUAUUGUGAAUUUCAAUAACAACUCCAUUAGGUAACAAACAAAAACAAUCUGCUUUGGAGUAAGAUUUAACAGAGUCUUUGUAAACAAUUUUUUAUACUGAAGAACCUUUAUUUCUAAAUUUAAAGUAAGACCUGUAUGAGGCUCACACAAAAACAGCUACUAAAAAAUAAUUUUUUGAAACUCAUGAUUAAAUACAUAGUAUCCAAAUAGUUUACAAU